GACGAACGCUGGCGGCGUGCCUAAUACAUGCAAGUCGAGCGGACUAAUGGGAGCUUGCUCCCGUUAGUUAGCGGCGGACGGGUGAGUAACGCGUGGGCAACCUACCUGUAAGACUGGGAUAACUUCGGGAAACCGGAGCUAAUACCGGAUGACAUAAAGGAACUCCUGUUCCUUUAUUGAAAGAUGGCGUCGGCUAUCACUUACAGAUGGGCCCGCGGCGCAUUAGCUAGUUGGUGAGGUAACGGCACACCAAGGCGACGAUGCGUAGCCGAGCUGAGAGGGGGAUCGGCCACACUGGGACUGAGACACGGCCACGACUCGUACGGAAGGCAGCAGUAGGGAAUCUUCCGCAAUGGACGAAAGUCUGAGGGAGCAACGCCGCGUGAGCGAUGAAGGCCUACGGGUCGUAAAGCGCUGUUGUUAGGGAAGAAUAAGUGCUAGUUGAAUAAGCUGGCACCUUGACGGUACCUAACCAGAAAGCCACGGCUAACUACGUGCCAGCAGCCGCCGUAAAAC
rnacentral:rRNA from 1 species